rnacentral:misc_RNA from 1 species
UUUAAACACAACAUUGGCAGU